AUGGAGGCGCGGCCGCCGGUGUUGGCCAUUGUCGUCGUCGCGCUCUGCGUUGUAUCCCUCUGCGGCGGUGUGGCCCACGGCACGGCGGUCACCUACAACGUCAAGAACUACGGCGCUAAAGGCAACGGCGCCACCGACGACACCAAGGCGCUAAUGGCGGCGUGGAAGGUGGCGUGCGCGGCGGCCGGCGCGGUGACACUGCAGGUCCCGGCGGGGGUAUACUACAUGGGCCCGGCGCAGUUCCACGGCCCCUGCAAGGCCUCCUCCCUCACCUUCUUGCUCCAGGCAAGCAAGCAUGCACCAUGCAGUUGUGUUGGCGGCGUACGUCGUGCGCGCGCGCGUGCGUGCCUGCGGUUAGCACAUUGCACGUACGACGAGGACUCAUUUUGUGUGCGUGCGUGGGUGCAGGGGACGCUGAAGGCGGCGACGGAUCUGAGCCGCUUCGGCAACGACUGGAUCGAGUUCGGGUGGGUGAAGGGCCUCAUCGUCGCCGGCCAGAACGGCGCCGCCAUCGACGGCCAGGGCGCCGCCUCCUGGCCCUUCAACAAGUGCCCCAUCCGGAAGGACUGCAAGGUCCUCCCCACCAGCGUGCUGUUCGUGAACAACGAGAACACGGUGGUGAAGGACAUCUCGUCGGUGAACAGCAAGUUCUUCCACUUCGCGCUGCUGCAGAACAAGAACACCCAGAUGAUCAACCUGCGGAUCAACGCACCGGGGACCAGCCCCAACACGGACGGCGUCCACAUCGAGCGCUGCUCCGGGGUGACCAUCGUCGACACCAAGAUCAGCACCGGCGACGACUGCAUCUCCAUCGGCCAGGGGAACGACAACAUCGACAUCCAGCGCGUGACCUGCGGACCGGGCCACGGCAUGAGCGUGGGCAGCCUGGGGCGGUACGUCGGGGAGGGGGACGUGACCCGCGUGCACGUCAAGGACAUGACCUUCGAGGGCACCAUGAACGGGGUGCGGAUCAAGACGUGGGAGAACUCGCCCACUAAGAGCCUGGCGGCGCACAUGGUGUUCGAGAGCCUGGUGAUGAAGGACGUGCAGAACCCGGUGAUCAUCGACCAGAAGUACUGCCCCUACUACAACUGCGAGCACAAGUACGUGUCCGGGGUCACCAUCAAGAACGUCACCUUCAAGAACAUCAAGGGCACCUCGUCGCUGCCCGUCGCCGUGCUUCUCCGCUGCGGCAUGCCGUGCCAGGGCGUCGUGCUCCAGGACCUCGACCUCAAGUUCAAGGGCGCCGGCACCACAUCGUCCAAGUGCGAGAACGCCAAGGCAAAGUACGUCGGCUACAUGUACCCAAAGCCGUGCGUAUAG
rnacentral:rRNA from 1 species